UACAGAGGGUGCGAGCGUUGUCCGGAAUCACUGGGCGUAAAGGGCGCGUAGGCGGCCUGUUAAGUAGGGGGUGAAAUCUUGCGGCUCAACCGCAAGGCUGCCUUCUAAACUGUCAGGCUGGAGCACGGUAGAGGCAGAUGGAAUUCCCGGUGUAGCGGUGGAAUGCGUAGAGAUCGGGAAGAACACCAGUGGCGAAGGCGGUCUGCUGGGCCGUUGCUGACGCUGAGGCGCGACAGCGUGGGGAGCAAACAGG
rnacentral:rRNA from 1 species